rnacentral:rRNA from 1 species
UGCAGUCGAACGAUAUAGUGGCGGANGGGUGAGUAACGCGUGGGAAUAUGCCUCUCAGUACGGAAUAGCUUUUGGAAACGAAAGGUAAUACCGUAUACGCCCUCCGGGGGAAAGAUUUAUCGCUGAGAGAUUAGCCCGCGUUAGAUUAGCUAGUUGGUAAGGUAACGGCUUACCAAGGCGACGAUCUAUAGCUGGUCUGAGAGGAUGAUCAGCCACACUGGGACUGAGACACGGCCCAGACUCCUACGGGAGGCAGCAGUGGGGAAUCUUGCACAAUGGGCGAAAGCCUGAUGCAGCCAUGCCGCGUGAAUGAUGAAGGCCUUAGGGUUGUAAAAUUCUUUCGCCAGGGAUGAUAAUGACAGUACCUGGUAAAGAAGCCCCGGCUAACUUCGUGCCAGCAGCCGCGGUAAUACGAAGGGGGCUAGCGUUGUUCGGAAUUACUGGGCGUAAAGCGCGCGUAGGCGGACUUUUAAGUCAGAGGUGAAAUCCCGAUGCUCAACAUCGGAACUGCCUUUGAAACUGGAAGUCUAGAGGCCAGGAGAGGUCAGUGGAAUACCGAGUGUAGAGGUGAAAUUCGUAGAUAUUCGGUGGAACACCAGUGGCGAAGGCGACUGACUGGACUGGUACUGACGCUGAGGCGCGAAAGUGUGGGGGAGCAAACAGGAUUAGAUACCCUGGUAGUCCACACCGUAAACGAUGACAGCUAGUUGUUGGCAGGCAUGCCUGUCGGUGACGCAGCUAACGCAUUAAGCUGUCCGCCUGGGGAGUACNGNCGCAAGGNUAAAACUCAAGGAAAUUGACGGGGGNCCGCA